ACGCUCGACACCUACGGGAGACAGCAGUGGGGAAUAUUGCACAAUGGGGGAAACCCUGAUGCAGCGACGCCGCGUGAGCGAAAGAAGUAUCUCGGUAUGUAAAGCUCUAUCAGCAGGGAAGAAGAUGACGGUACCUGACUAAGAAGCACCGGCUAAAUACGUGCCAGCAGCCGCGGUAAUCUGAGCGGGCUGGCAAGGC
rnacentral:rRNA from 1 species